CGGGCCGGAGGCCGCCGGGCUCGGAGCUGCGGGAGCGAGGGGCGGCUCGUGCGGUGGGCUUUGGAGCGGGAAGGGCGGAUGCGGUCAGGAACGCACUGUUCUGUGCUCGCCUUUAAAUAGGCUUUGAAACGGGAUCGCCGGCUGAGGGUUGUGAGGCACUGGAAGAGGUUUCCCCGUCCCUGGCAGUGUUCAGUGCCAGGCUGGAUGGGGCUUCGAGCAACCUGGUGUAGUGGUAGGUGUCCCUGCCAGUGUCUCAGGCAGUGUGCUCGCUUCUAGCAGUGCACUCGGUCAGCUUGUCUCCUGAAGUCCGGCAUCAGGACAUCACAGCGGGAAGGAGACAGAUGAAGCAUAAUGGCACGAAUGCUCCGGGAGGCUGCAUCCUCACUGCCAGAGGCCGAGCGCCAUCCACAUUAAGUCUGCAAUUGCCUGGCUGUAUUUUGCUCCUUUCUUUCGGAAGAUAGUCUUUCGCAUAUAUACAGUUGAAACUAUCCAUCUGACUAUGUAGAGAACUUGUGUACUUGUCAAAAUGGUUGUCAUACUGGCAUUUCUCAGAGCGCGAGGCCCUUCUGGAUUGGCCCUUUGGCCACAGAACCUCGUGGAGGCUUCAAAAUCACCUUCUGACCUGUGUGUCUUUAUCCACCCUGAAUGACAAAACCCUGGGUUUAGCUACUGCUUCUCGCAUCAGAUGCAGGCAGCCAGAUUUCCAAUUUGAGCUAACUCAGGCUGGCCUUACAACUCCAUGUGCAGAAGUGGUCCAGAAACAAGAUCCAACUGCAGGAGCAGUUGUGCAUUCCCCCUCACAGUCUGCAGCAGCGAGGGUAUAGUGGUUGUGCCCUGCUAAUGUCAAAACUGAAGUUGCUAAUCUUGUGGUUGGAGGAUGUUUGCAGAGCAAGAGUUAAAGUAGCUGUGAGACAGCUAUGUGCUGAAGAUCAAGCCAAGUCUAUAGAGCUAGAAGAGUGGCUCGAAGCCAUCUUUCAUGACGAUAGUGGUGGUGGUGAUGAUGAAUGGUGAUGAUUAACUCGUCCACCUCACCCUUCAUUUCUGACCAGCCACACCUGAGAAUGCAGAACCCAUCCUAUUGUUUACCUAAACCUCCUGUAAGACAACUUCUCCAAGGCUGAGAAGCACUAGAUGAGGGGUUGCGUCACUGGUGCACUGGAUAUGACAGCACUGUGCACAACCUCCUCCUUGUUUCCCUGGCAGAGGAGCCAUUUCACACACAGCAGUAUUGUGCACUGGAGCAAUGCAUGGAACUCCAUCUGCAAGGAAGAUUACACUCAGUAUGAGCUCCAUUGCACAUUAAACCACUAACAUAAAUGUACCUGCUCUGACCUAUCUCCCAACCUAUAGCAGCUGAUUGAUAUCCCAAAUGCUGUGAGAAAUGCUUCCGAUAUUCCAUUUCUCCUUCUCAGAAGCAGCCCGCAUUUUCCACCAGCUAUCUGGGAUACGUGUAUGAAUGUGCUUACCUCCAGCUGCUUGUGGCACUGGCCAAACAAACACCGGUAGGUCCUGGGCCAGGUACCAUUCUGACAGGCAUGCUUCUGUCUAGUGCCUGCUUGGGCACUUGCCUUCUAUUGGAAGAAUGCAUGUUGUCCUGCAAGAGGUGAAGAGCCUGUCAUUGAUUUGAUGAGUCUAUGAUAUUAUCGAUGCAACUCGUUUAUUCUGCCUGUUUAUUGCAGCCAGAGCAUGAGUUUAUAAAACCAUUUACUCAGCAGCAGGAAGGCAGUAAAUACAAGAAAUUGUUAACAAUUGAAUCAUCUGCAAAACUAUAGCAUGAGUGGUGCUCUCAGGAAACUGCCAGUUUUUCGAUUGGGUGAAUAGGUGUUCUUCUGGAAGUUAGCAGCCAUACUUCUGUUGAUCUUGUUGGACUGGGAUUUGAAGUUGUAUCUUAAUACCUCUUCUACCUUUCCUUCCUGAUUCCAAGAUUGUUUGGUGUUCAUGCAUUUUUGCAAGUUCUUAGAAUCUAUGAAUGACCGUUGCCUUUCUAGAGUUAGCAGGGGAAGUCUUACUGCAACUUCCUCUAGCAACUAAUGCAACCCAGUCUCUAUACAACUCACUGUUGCAUACGUGAAGCAUUUAGAAAUCAUGAGUCACAUCUAAAAGAAAUACAAUACUCUUGUAAAACUUGUGAUAUUGUAAAUCAUAGAAUCAUAGAAUGCUUUGGGGUGGAAAUGCUGGUGUCUUUCUAUUUACCUUUUGAUUUUUGAGCCUUAAGCUAUGCUGAAAUCACAUUCACAUUCUCAGGAAUGUGAUGUUAGUGAAAGUAAAUGUUAGUAAAGAGUAGGAAUGUGCUUUUCCUUUCUUUUUUUUAAUGAAAGUGAAGAUUGUCACACAAUCAAGCACUAGUACAGUUACUCAUAGCAUAGGAAGAAAUCACUCUUCCCUAUGAAAACCAGCUGUAUUAAUCUGUUUUUAAACAUAUUUAGUCUGGUUUAUCCAGUUGUUUUAUGAAUGAAAUAACAUGAAAUAAGUUUCUGCUGACAAAACUGAAUGGACUUUUUCACUAAGAAAACUAUUUUUUAAAUAUUACAGUUGCUGCCACUGUGCUAGUUCUGUGUGAACACUCACUUGCACAUCCCUCUUUUCAGUUCUUAUUUCACCUCCUUACAACUUCCAUGCGAGUUUUAGUAAGGAGAGUGAAUUGUUUAUGUACUGACCAUGCUGUUCUGCAUGUGAGCCUGUGUGUCUUGCCGAUAAAUCUUUUGCUGAUAGGCUUUUCUUUCCUGAGGGCAUCCUAUUAAUGUUCAAAAGGCUUCUACCGUCUCUUGCCUUUGUAUUGCCGCUGAUUUAUGACUAAGAUGUGGGCACUUCCCAUGUGGUGCUGGGCUGCUUGCAUAUUGCAACAGUGUGAGCACAUUGUGCUAGACACCUUACAUCCCACAAAGAGGCCAUGUGUUUCCAGAUUACAGUUCUUGGCUAAGUGUCCCAUAGUAGUUCCACAAAGUGUGUGAUGACCUGCCAUGACUGCAGUUUUAGUUACUAAAAGUGAACCAUCUUAGGUCAUAAAUCUGAGGCUUCAUAAGGCAACAGAAUACUCUGUUGCAGUUACUAAUUUGCCUUUUAUAUAACUUAUACUGGUCCAUAGACUAGUGUGUUCUCAAUUGGGUGUUCAUUCCUGAUCAGGUCAUGUAACUCCUGGCUCACUUUAUUAUAUCUGUAUUCCUGAGCACUGGUCAUUUUAGCGGGACUGCUGGAGGCAUGUUGCUGACUCUCUAUGUUGAAACAAAAAUCCACAAACAGAACUCCAAAUCCUUAAGAGUGGCUUAAAAAAAUGUGUUUGUUUAAAAAGGACAGUUUGUUUAUGUAUAAACCUUUCACUGUAA